AGCCUUCAGCGAACAACAAGUAUUGAAGGUGAUGCCUGCCCAGUGACCCCCAAAGUUCUGCGGCCGCGGUAUCCUAACCGUGCGAAGGUAGCGCAAUCAAUUGUCUCAUAAAUUGAGACUUGUAUGAAUGGCUAAACGAGGUCUUAACUGUCUCCUGUGAGUAAUCAGUGAAAUUAGUGUUCUCGUGCAAAAACGAGAAUGUGAUCAUAAGAGGGAGAAGACCCUGUGGAACUUAAAAAUAACGACCACCCUUCCACCAACAACACCCACUGGACCCACCCACAUAAAACGCCUGGUCGACAUUUUUUGGUUGGGGCGACCUUGGAGAAAAACAAAUCCUCCAAACCCAUAGAUCACAAUUCUUCACCAAGACCAACGCAUCAAAGUACUAAUAGUAAUUUAGACCCAAUACAAUUGAUUAAUGAACCAAGCUACCCCAGGGAUAACAGCGCAAUCUCCUCCAAGAGCCCAUAUCGACAAGGAGGUUUACGACCUCGAUGUUGGAUCAGGACAACCUAAUGGUGCAGCCGCUAUUAAGGGUUCGUUUGUUCAACGAUUAAACAGUCCCU
rnacentral:rRNA from 1 species